AUAAUAAUAAAAAGUAUAUAAGCUACAAUUGGAGUGGUAGAGAAAAGAUUAGCAUGACACCUGUGCAAAGAUGAUAUGCAAAUCCAUAAACUCUUCAUAAUGUUG